ensembl:snRNA U6 U6 spliceosomal RNA
GAUGCUCACUUUGGCAGGUCAUACACUAAAACUGAAAUGAUACAGAGAUCAGCAUGGCCACUCCAUAAGGAUGACAUGAGAAUUUGUGAAGCAUUCCACGUAUCU